CCGCUUAUUUCUUGACCACAUUAAAACGUCGUUUACUGUUUUUAUGUACUCUUUAAAAAAACGUAGGGUAUAUUCAGAAACAAUACAAAACUGCGGAAAUGCGCUGCUGUUUUUAUUAGAAGUAACCAGUGUAUGUUAAUAACAGGCCAACGCCUGCUCAUGAACAUAAACAGUUCAUAUGGACGGCUUAUCUGACGGCCCCAUUUCACUCGCAAAGCGAUACAGAGAGAGAGAGAGAAAUGGAGUUUAACGUCUACUCAACACAAACUAGGUCAUUUCGGGACUAGCACAUGGUUCAAUUUUAUUUCAAUAAUGCACUUGCGCGUAGGGGUCUUUAGCAGUGGGAGGAAACCGGAGGACCCGGAGAAACCCACGAGGUUGGACAGGCGACCCUACUCCUUGUCACAUACAACCAGGGAAUCGAAAAUUUAAUAAUGUUUGCAAAUUGGCAAUGAAUGAAAUUGUUUCAAAAUUAAAAAUCAAAGCUUUGCUUUAGUCAAGAUCAUCAUUUCAAUCAGAUUACGACUAAAUCUAUGUGUAAUUUUUUUUGUUUUUUGUGAACUGAGUAUCAUAAGGGCCUGACAGAAUUACAGUUUAAUUUACCGGUAACUUCUUUUUUAUUUCAGAAAUACCAUUUUCCGACCUUUUGAUCCUUCAAAAAUACCCAAAGUGAAAGGGCCGAAGAAUCGUUCAUUUUCUAUUAGUAUUAUGGCACCGUUUAACAUGAGGAACCAAAAGAAAGUGAACCCAAGAAAUUAGGAUGUUGGCAAAAGAGUGUUGGUGUGAUGGGAAUUAGCCAAUCGAAAAAAGGUCUAGCUAAAUUAAUUCUGAAAAAGAAACUAAAAGUAGUAUCAACACAAACAUCUGUUAAAUCUGAAUGUUUCUCUUACUACAGCAUCCAACCAAUCAGAAUCUGUGAUACAAAAUACAGCGUUUAAAUCAAAA